UACGAAGGGGGCUAGCGUUGCUCGGAAUCACUGGGCGUAAAGCGCACGUAGGCGGAUCUUUAAGUCAGAGGUGAAAUCCCAAGGCUCAACCUUGGAACUGCCUUUGAUACUGGGGAUCUCGAGUCCGGAAGAGGUGAGUGGAACUGCGAGUGUAGAGGUGAAAUUCGUAGAUAUUCGCAAGAACACCAGUGGCGAAGGCGGCGCACUGGUCCGGUACUGACGCUGAGGUGCGAAAGCGUGGGGAGCAAACAGG
rnacentral:rRNA from 1 species